rfam:Coccidioides immitis RMSCC 3703 supercont1.111 genomic scaffold, whole genome shotgun sequence.
CUGCAUGAUGAACUCUUAAUUUCGCUGUGUUCUUACCGAGGCACACUUUGAAGAAACAAAAUAUCACCUUGGAGAACUGACAC